GACAACGUGGCCGAGUGGUUAAGGCGAUUGACUCGAAAUCAAUUCCUCUCUGAGGGCGCAGGUUCGAGUCCUGCCGUUGUCG